AAUGGAGGUCCCUAAGGGAUCUGUACCAAAUAUACAAUUGACAAUAAAUAAAAGUAAAAUUUUAUUUAUUAUCAAUUGUAUACUUGGUAUAGAUCCCUUAGGAAUCUCCAU